rnacentral:miRNA from 8 species
UUGAGCAAAAUUUCAGGUG